ACUAUAACAGAAGGACAUAAUCGGCCCUGGAUGUUUGCAGAACUUUACAGCCAGUCUCCAUCUCCAGGGAGCUCACUUCCUUCAGCUUUCUGAGUCACAAAGUCCACUAUCAUCAUGUCUGACACAGAAGACGUGUAAGUAUCUUUCACCUCACAAUUUUGGAUUAUAGAUACUACCAUUAUACUCUUGCAUCUUAAAAAUGUAACUAGUGUUUAAAUAUUUUACUUACAUAUUGUUUUCCUCUGAUUUUUCCCCAGUGAGCAGCAGGGUGAGUACUGCUACUUUUUACAUAUAAUAAUUUAAAUUUGUUUUUAAUUAUUUGCUAAAAAAUUAAUGCCAGUAAAUUUAGUUUAAAUGUUU
rnacentral:lncRNA from 1 species